GUAUCACACUAUAUUUACUUUCUAAUUAAUAUUCUCCGAGUCACUGUUUUCUUUUACAUGCAGAUGUUUUCAAGCAUGUGAUUAUGGGAAAGUUAAUAACUCUAUAAGUGAUGACGGAUUCAUUUUGUUGGGGAAGGAAGGGUAAAGUGCAUCAUACGAAAAUUCAAAUAGACAGAACAGAUAAUAGAAACAAACAGAGACAAGCACGGGGUUGGCCAGGUAAAGGCUGGAGAAAACGACCAAAAAGCUUUCCUGAUGCUCUAUGCAGCUUUUGUAAGAAAACUGGCACGUGUGAACCAAACUUCUGUGCAGGAUGAAAAUUAUGUACUUUAUUUUAUCUCAACAAUCUCUUUAAAAACUUGUAUACAUAUUAUAUGUAAACUUUUAUCAUUGUACUCACAAACUGAAUAAAUAUGUGAAGCGU